rnacentral:misc_RNA from 1 species
AAGUCGUAACAAGGUUUCCGUAGGUGAACCUGCGGAAGGAUCAUUAACACGUAUCCAACGUUAAACCCCCCUGUGAACCUUCAGAAGUCCGUUCUCGUAACACCAGUGCGCCUCAGCAAUCCCGGUAAAUCAUUGUCGACCAGUAUUGAUUCGGGACCUCUGACAAAUGCCUUACGAUCGAGCUGUACAGUGACAUGGCUUCCAGUGAAUGAAAGUGUCACCGGAUAACGCCUCACGAUUGCUGGGUCGACCACCGGUUAUAGUUCGGGCUUGCUAAAUACACGCCCCAAAAAACGAACAACUGUUAACAAUGGAUAUCUUGGUUCUC